rnacentral:piRNA from 1 species
UGCAGAAACCCCCUUUUCAUGCCACUGGGCCA